UACGAAGGGGGCUAGCGUUGUUCGGAAUCACUGGGCGUAAAGGGUGCGUAGGCGGGUCUUUAAGUCAGGGGUGAAAUCCUGGAGCUCAACUCCAGAACUGCCUUUGAUACUGAAGAUCUUGAGUUCGGGAGAGGUGAGUGGAACUGCGAGUGUAGAGGUGAAAUUCGUAGAUAUUCGCAAGAACACCAGUGGCGAAGACGGCUCACUGGCCCGAUACUGACGCUGAGGCACGAAAGCGUGGGGAGCAAACAGG
rnacentral:rRNA from 1 species